CCUAUGGGGUGCAGCAGGCGCGAAAACUCCGCAAUGCGCGAAAGCGUGACGGGGGAACCCCAAGUGCCGUUGGACUUUUCGUUCGACGGCUUUUAUGGAGUCUAGGAAGCUCCAGGAAUAAGGGCUGGGUAAGUCGGGUGCCAGCCGCCGCGGUAAUACCCGCAGCCCAAGUGGUGGUCGCGAUUAUUGGGCCUAAAGCGCUCGUAGCCGGGUUGGCAAGUCCCUUGUGAAAUCGGACGGCUUAACCGUUCGGCUUGCAAGGGAUACUGCUAGUCUUGAGGCCGGGAGACGUCGAGGGUACUCUGAGGGUAGCGGUGAAAUGCUCUAAUCCUCGGGGGACCACCAGUGGCGAAGGCGCUUGACGAGAACGGACCUGACGGUGAGGGGCGAAGGCUAGGGGAGCGAACGGGAUUAGAUACCCCCGUAGUCC
rnacentral:rRNA from 1 species